GUUGUAUGGUUAAGUGACUAAGCGUACACGGUGGAUGCCUUGGCAGUCAGAGGCGAUGAAGGACGUAGUAACUUGCGAUAAGCCCAGAUAAGGCAGUAACAGCCAUUUGAAUCUGGGAUUUCCGAAUGGGGAAACCCACGUGCAUAAGCACGUAUCAUGCAGUGAAUACAUAGCUGUAUGAGGCGAACUCGGGGAACUGAAACAUCUAAGUACCCGAAGGAAAAGAAAUCAAUUGAGAUUCCGGCAGUAGCGGCGAGCGACCCCGGAUUAGCCCUUAAGCGGUUUAAGUGUUAGUGGAAUCAUCUGGAAAGGUGAGCGAUACAGGGUGAUAGCCCCGUACACGACAAUGCUUUUAUCGUGAAAACGAGUAGGACGGGACACGUGUUAUCUUGUCUGAACAUGGGGGGACCAUCCUCCAAGGCUAAAUACUCCUGACUGACCGAUAGUGAACCAGUACCGUGAGGGAAAGGCGAAAAGAACCCCUGUGAGGGGAGUGAAAUAGAACCUGAAACCGUGUACGUACAAGCAGUGGGAGCCCACUUUGUUGGGUGACUGCGUACCUUUUGUAUAAUGGGUCAGCGACUUACUUUUAGUAGCAAGGUUAACCGUAUAGGGGAGCCGUAGGGAAACCGAGUCUUAACUGGGCGUUGCAGUUGCUAGGAGUAGACCCGAAACCGAGUGAUCUAGCCAUGGGCAGGUUGAAGAUUGAGUAACAUCAAUUGGAGGACCGAACCGACUAAUGUUGAAAAAUUAGCGGAUGACUUGUGGCUAGGGGUGAAAGGCCAAUCAAACUCGGAGAUAGCUGGUUCUCCCCGAAAUCUAUUUAGGUAGAGCCUCGGACGAAUACUACUGGGGGUAGAGCACUGUUAAGGCUAGGGGGUCAUCCCGACUUACCAACCCUUUGCAAACUCCGAAUACCAGUAAGUACUAUCCGGGAGACACACGGCGGGUGCUAACGUCCGUCGUGAAGAGGGAAACAACCCAGACCGCCAGCUAAGGUCCCAAAGUUAUCGCUAAGUGGGAAACGAUGUGGGAAGGCUCAGACAGCCAGGAUGUUGGCUUAGAAGCAGCCAUCAUUUAAAGAAAGCGUAAUAGCUCACUGGUCGAGUCGGCCUGCGCGGAAGAUGUAACGGGGCUAAGCGAUACACCGAAGCUGCGGCAAUGUGCUUUAUGCAUAUUGGGUAGGGGAGCGUUCUGUAAGCCGUUGAAGGUGAACUGUAAGGUUUGCUGGAGGUAUCAGAAGUGCGAAUGCUGACAUGAGUAACGAUAAAGGGAGUGAAAAACUCCCUCGCCGGAAGACCAAGGGUUCCUGUCCAACGUUAAUCGGGGCAGGGUAAGUCGACCCCUAAGGCGAGGCUGAAAAGCGUAGUCGAUGGGAAACGGGUUAAUAUUCCCGUACUGCUUAUAACUGCGAUGGGGGGACGGAGAAGGCUAGGUGGGCCUCGCGACGGUUGUCGAGGUUCAAGUGCGUAGGCUGGUGUCUUAGGUAAAUCCGGGACGCCCUCUUUAAGUAGAGAAGGCUGAGACACGAUGUCGAGCCACUACGGUGGUGAAGUCAUUGAUGCCAUGCUUCCGGGAAAAGCCUCUAAGCUUCAGGUUAUAAGGAAUCGUACCCCAAACCGACACAGGUGGUCGGGUAGAGAAUACCAAGGCGCUUGAGAGAACUCGGGUGAAGGAACUAGGCAAAAUGGUACCGUAACUUCGGGAGAAGGUACGCUCUUGGCGGUGAAGUCCCUUGCGGAUGGAGCUACUAGGAGUCGCAGAUACCAGGUGGCUGCAACUGUUUAUUAAAAACAUAGCACUGUGCAAAAUCGAAAGAUGACGUAUACGGUGUGACGCCUGCCCGGUGCCGGAAGGUUAAUUGAUGGGGUUAUCUUCGGAGAAGCUCUUGAUCGAAGCCCCGGUAAACGGCGGCCGUAACUAUAACGGUCCUAAGGUAGCGAAAUUCCUUGUCGGGUAAGUUCCGACCUGCACGAAUGGCGUAAUGAUGGCCACGCUGUCUCCACCCGAGACUCAGUGAAAUUGAAAUCGCAGUGAAGAUGCUGUGUACCCGCGGCUAGACGGAAAGACCCCGUGAACCUUUACUACAGCUUGGCACUGAACAUUGACCCUACAUGUGUAGGAUAGGUGGGAGCCUUUGAAGCAUCGUCGCUAGAUGGUGUGGAGGCAAUCUUGAAAUACCACCCUUGUAUGCUUGAUGUUCUAACGUUGGCCCCUUAUCGGGGUUGCGGACAGUGCCUGGUGGGUAGUUUGACUGGGGCGGUCUCCUCCCAAAGAGUAACGGAGGAGCACGAAGGUGGGCUAAUCACGGUCGGACAUCGUGAGGUUAGUGCAAUGGCAUAAGCCCGCUUGACUGCGAGAAUGACAAUUCGAGCAGGUGCGAAAGCAGGUCAUAGUGAUCCGGUGGUUCUGAAUGGAAGGGCCAUCGCUCAACGGAUAAAAGGUACUCCGGGGAUAACAGGCUGAUACCGCCCAAGAGUUCAUAUCGACGGCGGUGUUUGGCACCUCGAUGUCGGCUCAUCACAUCCUGGGGCUGAAGUCGGUCCCAAGGGUAUGGCUGUUCGCCAUUUAAAGUGGUACGCGAGCUGGGUUUAGAACGUCGUGAGACAGUUCGGUCCCUAUCUGCCGUGGGCGUUGGAUGAUUGAGAGGGGCUGCUCCUAGUACGAGAGGACCGGAGUGGACGAACCUCUGGUGUUCGGGUUGUCACGCCAGUGGCAUUGCCCGGUAGCUAAGUUCGGAAUCGAUAACCGCUGAAAGCAUCUAAGCGGGAAGCGAGCCUCAAGAUGAGUCAUCCCUAGACCUUUAAGGUCUCUAAAGGGUUGUUGAAGACUACGACGUAGAUAGGCAGGGUGUGUAAGUGCUGCGAGGCAUUGAGCUAACCUGUACUAAUUGCCCGUGAGGCUUAACCAUACAACACCCAAGGGGUUUUAG
rnacentral:rRNA from 1 species